AUGCACGCGAUAAAUGUGGCAAAUGAUGAUUACAUGUAUGCGUCACAAGAAUAUGAAACCCAAUAUGAUGAUGACAAUCUUGAUGUGGACGAUGAGGGCUUUGUUGUCAAGGGAAGAAGUGGAAAUUAUACCACCGCGGAGGAUGUGUUGAUAUGCACUGCUUGGAAGAAAAUCUCUCAAGAUGCAAGCGUUGGAAGCGACCAAACGGUGAACACCUAUUGGCAACGCAUCAAGGAGUACUUCGAUGAGCGCAACACAAGUGGUCACUUCCGUUCAAGCGACUCUCUACGCCAACGUUGGUCCACCAUCAACGCCGAAUGCCAAAAGUGGGCCGGUUGCUUGUCAAACGUUGCUCGCAUGAACCCAAGUGGUUGCGGUGAUAGUGACUUGAGGAACAUGAAAGGCGAGAAGAAGAAAAGGAAAGGAAAAGCUUUCACUUUUCAUCAUUGCUACAAAGAGCUCAAGGAUGAGGAGAAGUGGAAAACUAGAGAGACUUUUGAAUCGUCGAAGAAGAAGAGUGUGGUGCUUGAGGAUGAAGAAGAUGUCGCCAUUGAGGAGACGAGCCCCACUCCUCACUCCGCGACAAAAUCUUAUAGGCCCGAUGGAAACAAGAAAGCGAAGGGAACCAGGGCCGGAGACAAUGAUCUCAAGGAAGGAUUUGAUGCCAUUGUCAUGGCGAGGAAAGAGUAUGCCGAAGAGAAAAGAAUCUUGAAGCUCAAGGAAAUAGAGGAGAGGAGUGAGGCCGAGCGGCGAAGGGCGGCGGCCGAGGAGAAGAGGGCGGCGACCGAGGAGAGGAAGGUGGACCUAGAGGAGAAGAAGGCCGCGGCCGACUAG
rnacentral:rRNA from 1 species